rnacentral:misc_RNA from 1 species
AGAAAAAGAAACAAAUCCGUAAAACUCAUCAUGUGGCUUUUCAAGAGAAAAGGGCCUUCUGGGUUUUCGUCUUCUUCCACUGCUGAGGAAGUUACACAUGGAAUUGAUGGCUCUGGACUUACCGCCAUUGUUACAGGAGCAUCAAGUGGUAUUGGUUCUGAAACUAGCCGUGUUCUAGCUUUGCGUGGAGUUCAUGUCAUCAUGGCUGUCCGGAAUAUGACUUCUGGAAAAGAUGUUAGAGAUGCAAUAGUUACGGAAAUCCCUGCUGCUAAAGUUGAUACCAUGGAGUUAGAUCUUAGCUCAUUG